GGGUUUUUUUCGCGUCAAUUUCAAAAGUUUGCCGUAACGAACUCAUUUGCUACUGUUGACAGACGGACAUACAAAAGCAUGGACGGACAUCUUUAUACCAUUAUAUUUUCCUGACUAAGAUAAACGUAAAGAAAUGAUUCCAUCUAUUUUGUGAAUUCAUUAUUUCUGAAUAUUUAUCUUUCGUCCCCUUAUUAGAUAUAAGGAAAUUG
rnacentral:lncRNA from 1 species